GGGUAUUUAACUAAUUUUCCGGCUCUGAAUUACAGCCACCUGCACUGACCGCAAAAGACCUGAACUGCGAUUCCGAGAAUGGCAUUUAAAACAGGCAUUUUUAGAUUGUCCACUAGUUGAUUUAUAUGCGGGGAGGUUCGAAAUGUCUACGUCAAUUUAUAACGCUGGAUUAGAACUCCAAUAACAUCAUAUUCGUUCCGCGAUAUGUGAAUGUAUCCAAGUAGAGCCAUAAAGGGUCGUUGAGUUCUCAAUGCAGACAGCCCGGGGGUCAUAAGUCCCCAGAAUGUCCAAGUGGUACAGGGACCUUUUUUUUCACAUGAAGGGAGAAGAGGGGGGCGGGGGUGGCAGUUUAAACUACAAAAGCGCUGUAGUCUACAAAAGUGAAAGUAAUGUCAAAAGGCACGCCUGCACAACGUCCAGAGCAGACACUAAAAGGGGGAAUCCUAAUGGUUACCAAGGCAACAUGACAAGUGACUUGGCAUGGAUCAUCAGAGCUUGUCUCUUUCAGGUGUGCCUGUGGAGAGCCUGUCUGUGUAAGGCGAAUGACUGCAUGCAUAACGAACUUCUAACAGAAAUGGUAGAACGUCUGCCAAAGGGCUAUUUGUUCAGAGUGAACAAAAGUGAGGAAACAUUUGUUGCAAAAGCCCUUAGCAGGUUCUAUGGGGAGAACUGUAAGAAGGACUUUGAAUGCAAAGAUUACACUGAAGACAAAACAAAUUCUACUGUAUGUUACUUACUGACCUGUCUGCAUGGGAAGGUAGGUCUAUGCCUCUGUGUCUGUGUGUGUGUGUGUGUGUGUGUGUGUGUGUGUGUGUGUGUGUGUGUGUGUGUGUGUGUGUGUGUGUGUGUGUGUGUACUGUGUGUGUGUGUUUCUACUGUGUGUGUGUGUGUGUGUGUCUUGUGUGUGUGUGUGUGUGUGUGUGUGUGUGUGUGUGUGUGUUGUGUGUUUCUACUGUGUGUGUGUGUGGUUCUACUGUGUGUGUGUGUGGUUCUACUGUGUGUGUGUGUGUGUGUGUGUGGUGUGUGUGUGUGUGUGUCUACUGUGUGUGUGUGUGUGUGUGUGUGUCUUCCUCCAGUACUGAGUUCCUCCCCCUGUAUAACAGGAACCAGAGUGUGUCUCCAAUGUCACAUACAGUCUAGCUGA
rnacentral:lncRNA from 1 species